CUCGCCCCGCACGAGCCCCCCGCAACCCGUCACACCCUACGACCCCCGCCUUCCUCCCGAGCGCCGCCGCCCCUCUAGGCCACUGCGCCGUCGGCCCUCUCCCCCACCGCGCCGCCGGCCCUCUCCCCCACCGCUCCGCCGGCCCUCUCCCCCAUCACGCCGCCGGCCCUCUGCCCCACCGCGCCGCUGCCUCUCUGCCCCACCGAGGAUCAGUUCAAGUCCUCGCGCGAGCCACCGCCCGCCACCUUCCUCCAGCGAGCAACCGCCGGCUGUCUUCCUCGCGCGAGCCAUCGCUGGCCGCCUUCCUCCGGCGAGCAACCUCUGGCCGCAUUCCUCUGGCGAGCCACCGUCGGCCGCCUUCCCCCACCGCGUCUGCCUUAGCAUGCCGCGCCGUGUCUCCACUACCGCCUCUGGUCACGCACCGCCCUGUUCAUGUCUAGCUUGCGUAUGGAACCUGCAAGUUCAACAUUUGUGCUAUAUUCAGUUCUUGUACUCCUCCACGCCAUCCUCGGAACCCCUCACUCGCGCCACGGCCGCAGCUUCACUCCCAUGCGCCACCCUCUGCUGUCGCGCCAUGGCCUGCGCUCAGCGGCUGCGCGUGGAGCCGUUGGGUCGAGGAACUUUGCCUCGACAGUACAACAUCACACUCUGCUGCUGGUCGCGAGAAGAGCUGCUCGCAGGCCACCCCGUGUCCGCCCUCGAUCCGUCUCAGUCAUCUCCCUCUCAUCCUCUCUCUCUCUCUCUCUGGUAUGUGUUUGUAUGCAAGGAGUGGGAGGAGAUAGAGCAGGGGUACGUCGGCAUCUUCCAUGGAGAUUGCGACCUCUCUUGAUUUUUGCUUGAGGAUUUCUCCUCUGGAUCUGUCCACUGUAGUUCCUGUACAGCGGUGUCCUUUUUUCUAGUGUUCCUCGAUGUUGAUGCAUGUGUUUAAUAAGCCACUGAUACGAAUUCUGAAAACAAGCUUCAGUACAAGAAAAAUGGGUCGUUCAGUUCAAUUCUUAAUUAUAGGUGUGUGUAAACACAUCCUGCUUACACAAUAACUAAUUAACUAUGAUAACCAUGUUCAGACUUCUACAAAUCCCAAAACUAUGCAGAGUUAGGAUUGUUACUACCUUGUUUCUUACUAUUGAUUCAUUUUUUAUACUGUAUUGAGAUGGUACAUGUAGUUGACAUCUCAAUAUACUGUAAUGUGUUUUUUUGCAUAGUACCUUGAAAUUAUGUUAGCAAUUCUGAAUUGCAAUUGUGCUUGAAACUAAAAAUGAUUCUGUAACUUCUCAAACCUCGUGGACUUGAUGCUUAAAAUACAUUUCCAGAACAAAUUGAUUCUUGUUAUUUCAUGAUCAGUUCAGCAAAAAAAAUUAGUUCAGUCCAAUUUCAAAUUCUCAUUUUAGUUUAGUCAAAGUUUCUUAUUUUAUUUCAGUACAAUAUCCAAGUUUAUUUCAGUUCAAUUCUUAUUUUAGUUUUAGUUCAUUUCAAUUCUUAUUUUACUCAAUCUGUAGUCUAUGGAUUUUAUUUGGCCUAUAUUGCUAGAUGUACUAACUUGUUGUGCCAAGGAAAUCUAAAACAUUAAGUGUUGGUACUGUAAUUCAUUCAUUGUUAAACGCCUUCCUGCGGACGCGCACCCCCACCUCCCUGCCGACGCGCGCCCCCCGCCUCCUCGUCGACGUGCGCCGCCAUGCCUUCCUACAGACGCGCGCCGCUCCACCGUCUCAGCGCCCAUGCCGUUCAAACUCAGCCACCUAGGCCGUUAAGCACCGCCACCAGAGUCCGUUCAGUUGGCGGUGUUCCUGCAGCUGCAAAUGUGGUGCUCACAGUAGUAGGCGCUGGUUGUGUUGGAUAAAAUUCCUAGGAGCUCCCAUGAUUUAUACAUGGAACCCAGAUGAUUCCGUUUCUUCAUUCCCCCAAGUGCUUCAAUGCUGGCUCCUUCUCGUCUGGCUCGAUCGCUGCUGGAUUAGGUGGGCGUAGGUGUGGGUUUACAGGGAAGCUGGCACCGCUCUCGUGUUAUUUUCUCUAGCGAUUGAGAAAUUGAUACUCUCUUUUUAAUGUGUAAGUUUAUCUGCUCACAACUUUUUGUGUGAAAAUCAAAUAGCUUGAGAAUAGCAACCUGUUCGAGCUUAUCUGAGAGGAUUUUGAAUCGUUGUGCGAGGAAGUGUGGACAUGGCCUUGACAUAAUGCAUGCUGCUUUAUUCAUAAAGAGACGUGGUGUUGAUUUUAUUCAUAGGAAACUGAACCGAAACAGUGGUUGCUACUAGUGUUUGGAAAUUAUAAUUACUAGAACUCUUAUUUCUCACCCUUUUAAUUGCUGGCUAAUUCUUGUAAAAAGUAGUGGUUAAUCUUGCUAAUGACUUUGAUGUGAUGCCUAGGUGGUCAGUCCAGCUCCUGCAACCAGCACAGGUCGUUGCCCCUUUUGCGGCCUCUGGGCAAGCCCUGCUCAUGUAUGCUUACACCAAAAGUACAACUCUUGUUACUCUCCUCAUACUUGCACUUGCUUAUUUUCUAAGCAAUAAUUCCUAUUGCUUCCUCUUGGGGAAAGGGAUCCCAUGUUGGAGCUGUCUUGGUGCUCACCCGUUGUUUAUAUUCAUCACCAUAGUGUACGAAACAUAUGAAAACCAUUCUGGCUUCGGGAGAAAAUAUAACCAGUACAUGUGCAAUUGCGCGAGAAGUUCCUUUAUGAAAGUUCCUUGUAAACAAACCACAUGGAAGUUCGUCAAGAAAAACUUUGUAAGUUCAAAAUGGCUAUAGGAAGGUUCAUAUGGGUAUAUAAAACUUUGUAAGUUCAAAAUGGGCACGCCUAACAGUGCGUGAAUAAAAAAACUAAACCCAACAAAGUCCAUGUUGGUCGGUCUACAUUGUGUUGUCAAGAAGGUUGUUGGCCUUGGAGGCCGACACUGGUUGAUCAUCUACCUUCCAAUUAUUGUUAGGCAUAUACCACUGAAACUGCAGGUCACGCCGUCCUCCCGCCGUAGGUGGUGCCCUCCUCCCGCAUAGCCUAUUGGUUGGUGUACCGUGACCCCUCAUAUUUUUGGUAUGAAUUUGAUGAAUCUUCUUGAUGCUCUGUUCUUAUUCAUCUAGAGAUUCCUCCUCAUAUUGAUUGUUUGUAUUGCUUGUACCGGUUUCGUUCUUGCAUGUAUGUAUCAGUUCGAUGUUUUGAGAUAGCUCAGAUUACUUUCAACUGUGAAAGAUUGACAUGCAUAAAAGCUUCCAACUGUGAAGCUUCACGACCAUUCAGUAAACAAAAGGAAAACAAAAUGCAGGUGUUCGUCGCAUGUGUUCGUUCAAUAAGGGCUUCGGUGACGGUCCGCUGUUGGUGGCCGCCUCAUCGUGGUUAAGUUUGACGUAGUCGCAUGUGUCGCUUGCUGUUGUGGCCGUUCUCCAGGUACAUAGCGUUGUUCCUAUUCAUGCCUGUGUAUGUAGUGCUGCCCCGUUAAAUCAUUUGUUCAUCUAGUUUGUUCCAACCACGCUGGAUGCCUAGUACUAGUAGCUUGCACUAGCCUCUACAUGAGCAUCUCAAGCUGUUGUUAAUAAAUGUGAAUAGUACUGAUUGUUUUGCUUGAAUUGGCGUCUCAGAUUAUACUGGAGCAUGUGUUUUCACAGAUAGUUCAUGUUCCAGAUUGCCAAAAGUUCGAACAUAGUGAGAUGGAUGGGAAACUACGAGACAGAGAUGAUACUAGACAAAGAAAAAUUAGUAAAAGAAAGAAAACACUAGAAGUUCAACUAGGGUAACUUAAAAAGUUCGUGAAAAAUAAAUAUAAAAGUUCAGAGAAGAGGGUUGGAAAAGAUUUGGGAAAAGACACACACAAAAAACAUGGAAAAGGUCAGUUCAAAAAUACUUGCCACAAGUAGUUAAAAGUUUAUUUGGAGUAGUUAGCAAUUCAGUAACUAGAAAAAGGAUAUGUCCAUUCAAAUAUACUUGCCAGAAGUACUUAAGAGUUUAUUUGUUGUGGUUAAAUAAAUUGAGCUAAUUUUCUGCAGUUCUUAGGUUAGAAAAAGGUUUCACUUCACUUUGCUGAAGUUCAUCUAGGAUCUUGGAAUCCGAUGUGGUAUGUGGCAAGGUACAUCCAACGACAACGAGCAUGCGCCAAGUGUACUUAUGAGCAGUGGGACGGUGGCAUGGUGCAGUUGAGUAGGCGUGCGUGGUGACCAGCUACAGAACUGAUUCUGACACUACAAAAUUAGUCCGACACACCCUCUUAACACCCCCUGCUUGAACCUUCACGGCCCAGGUCGUUCACUGCCUCGACAUGAGGCCGUUCAACGAUGCAGCGCUCAGGCCGUUCAACCUUACCACCACAAGCUGUUCACCUCUGCCACACGAGGCCGUGCGACGACGCAGUGAUCAGACCGUUCACCUCUGCCAUAGGAGGCCGAUGCAAACGCUAAGGAGUUAUGUUCUUUUUCAGUACAUGUUUUGUGUGCUUUUUAGUACACCUACUUAACGAUUCUUUGUCCAAUUUCCUCUGUUUACGUGUUCUUCCUAUAGCACAACAGGUGUUGUGUGUUAUGCCUUAAUAAGCAUUUGAGAAAAUCUUGUAUGAUCUAAACUAGCAUAUGUUCUGUUCUGUUCUUGUAAAUGAAGCUCCACUUCUGUUUUGUUUGAA